AUAGCGUAUAUUAUGUUGCUGCAGUUAAAAAGCUCGUAGUUGGAUUUCUGACUUGGCGCACCUGGCCCGCCACGGUUACGUGUGUGAGUGCCGGGAUGCGCCUGUCACUGUUCUGGUAAACUAUCGUGCUCUUCAUUGGGUGUGAUAGGUAGCCAGAUAUUUUACUUUGAAAAAAUUAGAGUGUUUAAAGCAGGCGUUUGCUAUGAAUACAUUAGCAUGGAAUAAUAAGUUAGGACUUCGGUUCUAUUUUGUUGGUUUCUAGGACUGAAGUAAUGAUUGAUAGGGAUAGUUGGGGGUGCUAGUAUUCAGCGGCCAGAGGUGAAAUUCUCGGAUUCGCUGAAGACUAACUUAUGCGAAAGCAUUCACCAAGGAUGUCUUCUUUAAUCAAGAACGAAAGUUGGGGGAUCGAAGACGAUCAGAUACCGUCGUAGUCUCAACUAUAAACUAUGCCGACUAGGGAUGAGUGAACGUUGCAUUCUCGACUUCAUUCGCACCUUAUGAGAAAUCAAAGUCCUUGGGUUCCGGGGGGAGUAUGGUCGCAAGGCUGAAACUUAAAGGAAUUGACGGAAGGGCACCACCAGGAGUGGAGCCUGCGGCUUAAUUUGACUCAACACGGGGAAACUUACCAGGUCCAGACUCAGCGAGGAUUGACAGAUUGAAGAUCUUUCUUGAUUCUA
rnacentral:precursor_RNA from 1 species